CUUUUCUGCAGGAAGGAGAAGGGAGUUGCCACCGACAUCGGAUACCGGAAAGCAGGCUCCUUGUGUUGCGUAAGCUCUUUCGACCUCGUCUGGAAAACGAGCUUGAUAGCUCACGGAAAAGUCGUGAGGAUAGAUACGGAAGGGAGAAAUCCACACCCAGAAUGAAGUUUAAGAAAAAACUCAAGUAUAUGAGCACUUUGAAAGCAGAACACCGUUGUUUUCAUGAUUCGAUCAUUCAGAAAUUAUGAAGGCACAGUUCUUGGCUUUGAUUGACUUAUAGUCAAGUGGAGUAGACAUAGGUCAUAGUGGCAGUAUAGCCACUUAAGUAUUCUGAAGGAGGUGAGUGUGUGGCACUUAACUCAGCCUGAGAGAGGAAAAAUUAGUCAGUACUUCUAAGAAGCGACUUUUAUACAGGUGGACAAGGAUCGGGGAGGGUCAUUCCAGAUUUCCAGGAAUCUGUGGCUGAAUUCUAAAUUGUACAGAAGACACUGCCAGGUGUUUUUCCCGGAGCAUUAGCCUUAUUUUUGGAUCAUGCUUCUCUUGCUUCUCUUGUUUUCCUUCUCUCGCUGCUAUCCCCCCCCCCCCCGUAACUGGAUGGGUAUUUGGGAUAUGAAAGGAAGUCAGAGGGUAGUAAAUCUUUCUGAGUGGCAGAAUAAUAGGAUGGUUUUACCAAGAAGUAAUGUAUGUACUCAGUAAGUCCAUUUGUAAAAACUAAGUUCCUGCGCUUUGUUUAAAUGCAUAGCUAGGAAACCUCAAUUUGUUGGAUUCUUUCCCAGUGAGUGGAUUAUAUUCUUGUCUCCAGUUCAGUCUUUUUUUUUUUUCCAGUCUUUUUGAAUAUAAGGACAUUUAAGGUGCUUUCAAAGAGAGAUCCCCACAUUUAAGCUUAGGAAUGAGCACAGGGGAGACAGCAAGAUUAGAAUCCAAGUUCAUACUACAAAAACAUUUUUGUUGGCUCUGUCUGGGUGACUGCAUGUUGUUUUAAUCAGUUGCAAGCUGUUAAAUUGAAUUUGCAUAGCUCACAUAAAUGACAGUUUAAUUCCACCAGGAUUUGAGUGAGGUGGAAAUAGAGCAGAAAAACCUGAAUCUGUCAAACUGGGGAAAAUGAAGAAAAGGCAAUCAAUUAAUUUAUCAGCAGGUUGCAGGUGAACAUGGCCUUGAGGUAAAUCCUGCCCCUUGUUGAAAUGUAGUUUCAGUAGAUAGUUCUUGGCAUUUUAAGGAAUUAGAAUAUUUUACAAAAAAACAAACGUUUUGUUUUGGUUCUUUUCUAGACUUUUUUUUUUCCUUGUAGAAGAUGAGAAACAUGUUAAAGGUUCUUUAUGCUGAGUAAUUGUGAUGCUUGAAGUUGGUCAUCUGCCUUGUUUAAAUUAAGUGGAUUUUAAAUGUCAAAGCUAAUUGUAGACCAUUUUUUCUUGAUUAAAAUCUUAUUAAAACCUUAUACGUGCCUA